rnacentral:rRNA from 1 species
GAGGGGGACUUGCUCAUGAUUCAGCGGCGGACGGGUGAGUAAUGCCUAGGAAUCUGCCUGGUAGUGGGGGACAACGUUUCCAAAGGAACGCUAAUACCGCAACGUCCUACGGGAGAAAGCAGGGGACCUUCGGGCCUUGCGCUAUCAAAUGAACCUAGGUCGGAUUAACUAGUUGGUGGGGUAAAGGCCUACCAAGGCGACCAUCCGUAACUGGUCUGAAAGGAUGAUCAGUCACACUGGAACUGAAACACGGUCCAGACUCCUACGGGAGGCAGCAGUGGGGAAUAUUGGACAAUGGGCGAAAGCCUGAUCCAGCCAUGCCGCGUGUGUGAAGAAGGUCUUCGGAUUGUAAAGCACUUUAAGUUGGGAGGAAGGGCAGUAAGUUAAUACCUUGCUGUUUUGACGUUACCAACAGAAUAAGCACCGGCUAACUUCGUGCCAGCAGCCGCGGUAAUACCAAGGGUGCAAGCGUUAAUCGGAAUUACUGGGCGUAAAGCGCGCGUAAGUGGUUUGGUAAGAUGGAUGUGAAAUCCCCGGGCUCAACCUGGGAACUGCAUCCAUAACUGCCUGACUAGAGUACGGUAGAGGGUGGUGGAAUUUCCUGUGUAGCGGUGAAAUGCGUAGAUAUAGGAAGGAACACCAGUGGCGAAAGCGACCACCUGGACUGAUACUGACACUGAGGUGCGAAAGCGUGGGGAGCAAACAGGAUUAGAUACCCUGGUAGUCCACGCCGUAAACGAUGUCGACUAACCGUUGGAAUCCUUGAGAUUUUAGUGGCGCAGCUAACGCGAUAAGUCGACCGCCUGGGGAGUACGGCCGCAAGGUUAAAACUCAAAUGAAUUGACGGGGGCCCCGCACAAGCGGUGGAGCAUGUGGGUUUAAUUCUAAGCAACGCGGAGAAACUUACCUGGGCCUUGACAUGUCCAGAACCUUUGCAGAGAUGCGAAGGGUGCCUUCGGGGAAUCCGGAACACAGGUGCUGCAUGGGCUGUUCGUCAACUUCGUGUUCUUGAGAUGUUUGGGGUUAAGUUCCCCGUUACGAGCGCCAACCCCUUUGUUCCUUUAGUUUACCAUCAACAUCUCGUUGGGGCGACGUCUAAAGAAGACUGGCCGGGAUGACAAAACCGGAAGAAAAGGUGUGGGAAAUGAUC